GGUGACAUAUUGCUUUUUCUCUGUUUCUUUUAUUAUGGCACCCUCAACGGAGUUGGGGUGACGUAUUGUUAUUCUACGUUUCUUUUUUUUCUUAUUAUUAUUUUUAUUAUUUUUCUUCCACACAUUUUGUCCAGGAGAUUUCUGGAAAUCCAUUGGACCAAAGUUGAUGGAACUCUAUUAUAUUAAGGACCCUUAGGUGAAGAGUUGCAGGCACCAUGGAAUGGUUCAAGAUGGCUGCCGUUUCCAUGGAAACUGCAAAAAUGUGAAAAAUUUUCAAAAUUCUUCAUUAUAAGACCCAAGUGGAUGAAACUUUGUGGAAGUGUUACCUGAUAUGCCUAGAUGUGCAUGCAAUAUCAAGAGGUUCCAAAAUGGCCGCCAUUGUCAUGGAAACAGGGCGAAAGUUUAACAUUGACCAUAUGGGAAAACACAUAAAAGCUACAUUUUCUUGAAGAAUAUAGCAUCAAUCCCAAUGAAACUUUAUAGAUAUGUAACAUGGCAUGUACCAAUGUGGCACCUGUCUUUGGAAUUUUGGAAAUGGUAACUGUUACCAUGGAAACAGCAAAAAUUUCAAAAAUUUCAAAAUGCUCCAAACGAGAUGAAAUUUUACAACAAUGUUAAUAAACAUGUGUAAAAGCGCUCUUUGACUUUGGAAUUUUCAAAAUGGCUGCCGCUCACCUGGCAAUGGGGGAAGGGUGCCAUCCGUUAUUGCUAGCAAUUACAAAUCUAGUUAUGUCACCC
rnacentral:lncRNA from 1 species